GGGACAACAGACUUUUCUUAUUAUAUUUUUUUUUAUAGAAACAACAUACAUUAGACAGAUACAAUACACACUUCUUAAUAAAAUUAUUAUAAUUUUACCAAGCCAUACUAAGAUUUUUCAAAAACAUCUAAUUUAACAUUAAGCAAAACAUAGUCCCAAUUAUCAUUACCCAAUUAAAUAUUUUUUAAGAUAAAUCAAUCUCUUCAUCCCAAAGCUCCUCUGGAGAUUUGUAAGGACCUUCAUUGGAGAUGAAUUGAAGACCAGGAAACCCUUUGCGUUGUGGAAGUUGAUUGAUCUUUUGCAAAUCAUCUUGGCUUAGUUUCCACUCAAAUAUGUCAAGGUUUUCUUUCAUCCUCUCUUUGUUGAAGCUCUUCACCAGCACACUUACCCCUUGCUCAAAAGCCCAUCUCAGGCACACCUUCACAUGCAAUUAGCCACAAUAACAUUACAGUUUGCUUAGGUUGGUUUUUUAUUAUCAUUAUUUUUUUUGUAACAAGAGUAAGCCCUUCUCCUGUUUUUUUCUUCAAUUCCCAAUAUGAUGUGGUGUGGUAGAGAAGCUCAUUACAAUCUCUUUGGGUUUUAUCUUUGUAGGUGGAUGACUUUUCCCUUCGUGGAUUAAUUGGGCUUUAACUACUUUCAAAAUGAUUAGCUUUUUUGUUUGUCCUUAACGCACUGUUCAGAAGAGAUUUUAUAAAAAUAAUGAGAGAUUUUAUAAAAUUUUUAAACUUAAUUUCUCUCAAAUAAUUAAAAAAAUUAAAAUUUAAAAAUUAUGAUACUUUACCUUUUUCAAGUCGAGCGUAAGAAAAUCAAUUUAAUCCUCUUAAAAGAAUAAAUUUACAAAUACAUAAUAUGUUUAGAAAAAUUUUGUACCUGCCCAAUAGUUUUUCCCUUAGCAUCAGCAAUCUCUUUGAGCACCUUACAAUCCAAGACAAGGUUUGUACCCCAUAGAGUUCCUUUGGCUCCUAAAGGAGAGUAAGCAGUGAUAUGUAUACCCUUCUUCUCACAGAAGUCUCUCAGCUUCUUUUGCUGCCAAAGUGGGUUCAUCUCCACUUGAUUAACAGCAGGAGAAAUCUUUGCGGUAGUAAGCAGGGUCUCAAGCUUCUUGCAUGAAAAGUUGCUCACUCCAAUGGAUUUUGUCAGGCCAAGCUUGUGACACUCUUCCAUAGCUUCCCACACAGAGUUUAUAUCAAAUGGAACAAGGUCCUUUUUCUUCACAGGCAGCUCAUAUUCACCUGGCUUCACGCUUACAGGAAAGUGAAUCAGGUACAGGUCAAGGUAAUCCAAUUUAAGAUUCUUGAGCGUUUUAUGUAAUGCAGGGAGGACACGAUCAUGAUGAGCGUCACUGCACCAAAGCUUGGAAGUGAUGAAGAGCUCAUCCCUGGACUUUACAAGCCCAAGCUGUAUGGCAUCUGAUAUGGCUUCACCAAGGGGGCGCUCUGAUUGGUAAAGAGCAGCAGUAUCAAAGUGUCGAUAACCUAGUUUUAUUGCAUGGAGAAAGGAGUCUUUCAUGGUCUCAGAGGAAGUACCAAAAGGGUAUUCAGCUGUUCCAAAACCUAAGAGAGGAAUGGUUUUGUCACUUGAAACUAGGACCGUCACUGGAAUGCUCCCCAUUUUCUCUAGCCUAGCCUAGUUUCCUAUUCGUUCCUUUUCUU
rnacentral:misc_RNA from 1 species